UACAGAGGGUGCGAGCGUUAAUCGGAAUUACUGGGCGUAAAGCGAGCGUAGUCGGUUAUUUAAGUCGGGUGUGAAAUCCCCGGGCUCAACCUGGGAAUUGCAUUCGAUACUGGAUAGCUAGAGUUCGGCAGAGGGAAGCGGAAUUUCCGGUGUAGCGGUGAAAUGCGUAGAUAUCGGAAGGAACAUCAGUGGCGAAAGCGGCUUCCUGGACCAGAACUGACGAUCAGGCUCGAAAGCGUGGGGAGCAAACAGG
rnacentral:rRNA from 1 species